GAUCCUGGCUCAGAUUGAACGCUGGCGGAAUGCUUUACACAUGCAAGUCGAACGGUAGAGGGGCAACCCCUCGAGAGUGGCGAACGGGUGAGUAAUAUAUCGGAACGUGCCCAGUCGUGGGGAUAACGUAGCGAAAGUUACGCUAAUACCGCAUACGAUCUACGGAUGAAAGCGGGGGAUCGCAAGACCUCGCGCGAUUGGAGCGGCCGAUAUCAGAUUAGGUAGUUGGUGGGGUAAAGGCUCACCAAGCCAACGAUCUGUAGCUGGUCUGAGAGGACGACCAGCCACACUGGAACUGAGACACGGUCCAGACUCCUACGGGAGGCAGCAGUGGGGAAUUUUUGGACAAUGGACGCAAGUCUGAUCCAGCCAUUCCGCGUGCAGGAUGAAGGCCCUCGGGUUGUAAACUGCUUUUGUACGGAACGAAAAGGUUUCCAUUAAUACUGGGAGCUCAUGACGGUACCGUAAGAAUAAGCACCGGCUAACUACGUG
rnacentral:rRNA from 1 species